GGACCCACCUGACUCCAUCCCGAACUCAGAAGUGAAACGAAACAGCGUCGAUGGUAGUGUGGGGUCUCCCCAUGUGAGAGUAGAACAUCGC
rnacentral:rRNA from 1 species